rnacentral:rRNA from 1 species
UCCGUAGGCGGGCAAUUAAGUCAGAGGUGAAAUCCCACAGCUCAACUGUGGAACUGCCCUUGAUACUGGUUGUCUUGAGUUACAGUGAAGUAGAUAGAAUAUGUAGUGUAGCGGUGAAAUGCAUAGAUAUUACAUAGAAUACCGAUUGCGAAGGCAGUCUACUAACUGUAUACUGACGCUAAUGGACGAAAGCGUGGGGAGCGAACAGGAUUAGAUACCCUGGUAGUCC